GAUGAACGCUGGCGGCGUGCCUAAUACAUGCAAGUCGAGCGAAUGGAUCAAGAGCUUGCUCUUAUGAAGUUAGCGGCGGACGGGUGAGUAACACGUGGGUAACCUGCCUAUAAGACUGGGAUAACUCCGGGAAACCGGGACUAACACCGGAUAACAUUUUGAACCGCAUGGUUCGAAAUUGAAAGGCGGCUUCGGCUGUCACUUAUGGAUGGACCCGCGUCGCAUUAGCUAGUUGGUGAGGUAACGGCUCACCAAGGCAACGAUGCGUAGCCGACCUGAGAGGGUGAUCGGCCACACUGGGACUGAGACACGGCCCAGACUCCUACGGGAGGCAGCAGUAGGGAAUCUUCCACAAUGGACGAAAGUCUGACGGAGCAACGCCGCGUGGGUGAUGAAGGCUUUCGGGUCGUAAAACUCUGUUGUUAGGGAAGAACAAGUGCUAGUUGAAUAAGCUGGCACCUUGACGGUACCUAACCAGAAAGCCACGGCUAACUACGUGCCAGCAGCCGCGGUAA
rnacentral:rRNA from 1 species